AGGUCAUGUUGUGGGAAAUUUUGAAGUAACCCCUUGUAUAUUUCCCAUGCUUCAUAUAAAUACGCUCCACCUUGUUAUUCGAAGUUGGCUAUAUUCUUCUUCAAUUU